CUUAAUGAUCAGCUCAAGCAGGACAUCGGUUACGUGGAUGCAGUGUCUGAGCUGCUGGCGUCUGCGGGUAGCUGCCUGCCUUCAUCCCAGUCUGCUACGAAUGGUUCGUCGCCAAGUGCCUCUGUGCUGUCUGGCAGCAGCGGCAGUUCCCCUCGUCGGUGGGGG
rnacentral:lncRNA from 1 species